AAUAAUAAUAAUAAUAAUAAAAGAUUUUCCAAAAUGUGCUUCACCAUUGGCCAACAGCGAGUGUUCAAAGAUUGAAUGUGCAUUGUAAUACAAGUGAUUUCAAGAAUUUAAAUCUUGAAUGAUCAUGUGGCCCAAAUGGCUCCAAUUAGAAGAUCACUUGAGCAAGUGUUGCUCUGAUCCAGUGAAGAUGGAGCUGCAAGUUUUAGCUCUAAAUCUGGUGGUGCACAUUGAAGAUUAGGAUUAUUUGUUGCACCAAAAGUAGGUUCAGAGUUGAAAGGUUUAGUACUUAACCAUAUAGGCGAUGUGGAAAGGUGAUGACGAGCAGAUGGAGAAGCUUCCGUGGUCUUCAAUGCAAAACCAGAACCAAAAAUAUUAUCACUUUCAGUUUUCUUAGAAAUGCCACCGUUGAGGGGUUCAAUUGAGGAUUGACCACUGCCCAUAUCGAAGAGGCUAGGACGGCGUUUUCUUUUGUUGAUGAGGCUGUUUUGUCUGAGAAAAUAUUUCUGUGCAUGACUGGCUACUUGGGUUGGAGUUCUUGUGGUCACAAAGUUCCUAGAAAUACCUCUCCAAUCACCCUUCCCUAGCUUAUGGAGCCCUAGUAGAAAGAUCCGAUGCUCCUCCUCACUCCAUGGCACUCCUUUCUUCCUUUCUUGGGUACGCCCAAGCAGGCCAUCAGAGAGAUAUCCAUUCGAGAAUGUAUCAACAUUUUCUUCCACAGUGGCAAGCGAAGAUCUAGAACAAGUAGAAGAAGAAGCUGUGGAUGGAGAUGACAAGCAAUCCACGCUAGAACUUUUCGUCAAAGAAACAAGAGAAGAUGAAGAAGAAGAAGAAGAGAAAAAGAAAGAAGAAGAGGAGGAAGAUCCUGAGAAGGAAGAAGAACCAGAUAAGCCUGAGAAGCAGUAGUAUUUUUGUCACCAGUCAGGAGCCUUGAAUUUCUUUAUUUGUUCUUCAUGUACUUUUGAUAGUAUAUCUAGCUUUAAGCGAUACUGACAGUGAUGAAAUGCAAUAAUCAUCAUCCAGUAAGAGUUUUGUCAUAGCUGAUGUUUCACAGUUCGAGCUGAAAGGAUCUUGCAAGCCUCCUUUCAGGACUUUUUAAAGGCCACAGGUUAUACGUAGGGUUUUCAUUUCUGUUUUGGUUGGAAUUUGAAUAUUGUAUGACGUGUUUGAUUAGUAAAUUCCAUUUUUGAUAAAAA
rnacentral:misc_RNA from 1 species